rnacentral:rRNA from 1 species
ACCUGACUGCUAUCGGAUUGAUACUAAGCCAUGCGAGUCAUUGUAGCAAUACAAGGCAUACGGCUCAGUAACGCGUAGUCAACCUAACCUAUGGACGGGAAUAACCUCGGGAAACUGAGAAUAAUGCCCGAUAGAACAUUAUGCCUGGAAUGGUUUAUGUUCCAAAUGAUUUAUCGCCAUAGGAUGGGACUGCGGCCUAUCAGUUUGUUGGUGAGGUAAUGGCCCACCAAGACUAUUACAGGUACGGGCUCUGAGAGGAGUAGCCCGGAGAUGGGUACUGAGACACGGACCCAGGCCCUAUGGGGCGCAGCAGGCGAGAAAACUUUGCAAUGUGCGAAAGCACGACAAGGUUAAUCCGAGUGAUUUCUGCUAAAGAGAUCUUUUGUUAGUCCUAGAAACACUAACGAAUAAGGGGUGGGCAAGUUCUGGUGUCAGCCGCCGCGGUAAAACCAGCACCUCAAGUGGUCAGGAUGAUUAUUGGGCCUAAAGCAUCCGUAGCCGGCUCUGUAAGUUUUCGGUUAAAUCCGUACGCUCAACGUACAGGCUGCCGGGAAUACUGCAGAACUAGGGAGUGGGAGAGGUAGACGGUACUCGGUAGGAAGUGGUAAAAUGCUUUGAUCUAUCGAUGACCACCUGUGGCGAAGGCGGUCUACCAGAACACGUCCGACGGUGAGGGAUGAAAGCUGGGGGAGCAAACCGGAUUAGAUACCCGGGUAGUCCCAGCUGUAAACUAUGCAAACUCAGUGAUGCAUUGGCUUGUGGCCAAUGCAGUGCUGCAGGGAAGCCGUUAAGUUUGCCGCCUGGGAAGUACGUACGCAAGUAUGAAACUUAAAGGAAUUGGCGGGGGAGCACCACAAGGGGUGAAGCCUGCGGUUC